AGUAACACGUGGAUAACCUACCUAUAAGACUGGGAUAACUUCGGGAAACCGGAGCUAAUACCGGAUAAUAUAUUGAACCGCAUGGUUCAAUAGUGAAAGACGGUCUUGCUGUCACUUAUAGAUGGAUCCGCGCUGCAUUAGCUAGUUGGUAAGGUAACGGCUUACCAAGGCAACGAUGCAUAGCCGACCUGAGAGGGUGAUCGGCCACACUGGAACUGAGACACGGUCCAG
rnacentral:rRNA from 1 species